rnacentral:rRNA from 1 species
AGAGUUUGAUCAUGGCUCAGAGCGAACGCUGGCGGCAGGCUUAACACAUGCAAGUCGAGCGGGCGUAGCAAUACGUCAGCGGCAGACGGGUGAGUAACACGUGGGAACGUACCUUUUGGUUCGGAACAACACAGGGAAACUUGUGCUAAUACCGGAUAAGCCCUUACGGGGAAAGAUUUAUCGCCGAAAGAUCGGCCCGCGUCUGAUUAGCUAGUUGGUGAGGUAAUGGCUCACCAAGGCGACGAUCAGUAGCUGGUCUGAGAGGAUGAUCAGCCACAUUGGGACUGAGACACGGCCCAAACUCCUACGGGAGGCAGCAGUGGGGAAUAUUGGACAAUGGGCGCAAGCCUGAUCCAGCCAUGCCGCGUGAGUGAUGAAGGCCCUAGGGUUGUAAAGCUCUUUUGUGCGGGAAGAUAAUGACGGUACCGCAAGAAUAAGCCCCGGCUAACUUCGUGCCAGCAGCCGCGGUAAUACGAAGGGGGCUAGCGUUGCUCGGAAUCACCGGGCGUAAAGGGUGCGUAGGCGGGUCUUUAAGUCAGGGGUGAAAUCCUGGAGCUCAACUCCAGAACUGCCUUUGAUACUGAAGAUCUUGAGUUCGGGAGAGGUGAGUGGAACUGCGAGUGUAGAGGUGAAAUUCGUAGAUAUUCGCAAGAACACCAGUGGCGAAGGCGGCUCACUGGCCCGAUACUGACGCUGAGGCACGAAAGCGUGGGGAGCAAACAGGAUUAGAUACCCCCGUAGUCC